CUGCUGGUCAGUGUACACUUCAUCCUGAGAAAGAAGCUGCGCUCCGUGUUUUGUUCUUUGCCCUUUUUCACAGGACCUAGCAAAAGGAAACAGUAAACCAGUUCUUGAGCUCAUGGAUCAUCUUCCGAAGGGGAGAACCUUCUGAAGUUGGCUACUAGCUCAGCUAUUCAAAAACCAAACAGCCUAAUUUGGGCACAGAAAACAUACUGAUCCUAUCAGGAAUGCUGCAAGCAGCUCAGCUGAGCACGGACAAAGCACCUAGGACAAGGAGGUGCGGAACAAAGCCAGCCUGCAGAGGGAUGCUUAGAGUGAGGACCAAAUCACAAUACAGCAUGGAAGUUCAGAACACGAGGCCAUUGCCAAAUUAUCUUUGCUAUGCCUGUGGAUCUGUGCAAAAACAUGCAACUUUUUAAUCAGCACAUCAUCUUAUGAGAGGUUCCGCAAGUGACAGAGGAAAGUGACUCACAAGCUGAUAUUACCAGGGAAAUAAGGAACCAGAUUCAAUGGAAGCAGUUAAAUAUAUGCAGAAAUCAUGUGCUAAUUGCAACAGCCAAAGAACCUGCUUAGUUUGUGCAGAAGUAUCCAAGUGACUGUGCUUUCAAGGCUGACCUUGCAAGCAUGAAUGCCUUGAAAUAUUAAGGAAGCUUAAAGAGUCAUUUUUAAAGACCAAAUUUCUUCGCAUUCUGUCUCCACCUGAAGGCUGAGAAAUGGAUAUCUUGGUCUAGGAAUCCUGAGGCCAAUGACAUACAGGUAUAUCCCAAAAGUCACUACAAGAAGCCAGACCUUUAACAGUACUGAAAAAAUAUUUUAGCUAUUUCAAACUGGAUGGAUUAAACAUUUCUCACUGAAGUCAGGCCUCAAGUGUCUUUUCUCUCAAUGGAAAACUGAGGGUGGAGGUGAAAAACCACUCCCAAUUCUGUCCUUCUCCUCUGACCACAGGUUUUGCCUCUGACAAAAGUAAAACAGGUAAUUAUGCUUCCUUAAACAGAUUCACCUUUGUACCUCUGAUUUUCCUUUGUUAGCUGCUCAUUCAAGAUCCCUUCACUUGCCAGAAGUUCCUUCUACUAUAGAAUUAUUUCAAGUAAUUGGUUCCCAUUGGCAUAGAUGCCAGAGCUUCACUAUAGCUUCCCUUUCGACUGCAGACAGUACUUUUUACCUAAAAUCAUGCUUGAACAAUAAUGCUGUGUACUUCAAGUUUGUGCAUUUGUCAGGCUCAAAAGUAACAAAGAAACGCAGGAAAGGGCAAUGCAAGAGAUGGAAACAGUCCUUUCCCAUGUAUUUGUCUUCUCUCUGAAAGCUCCAUGUUCUUGAAAACAUUUCAGCUGGAUUCUAAAUGUUUGGUUUUAGGACUCUCAGCACAGAUUUCAACAGAAGUCAGAGCUUUUCACAGCCCCUAAAUUACUAAUUACUGACUUGAAUAUUGCUCAUAUCAAGCUCACAGUGCUGCUGUUAAAAAUUAAACCCAGAGCAAGUGAAUCAAGCACUGCCUGCUGAAACCCUGUGUUACAAUGGGCAAAACUUGAGGAAAGCCCAAAUGUCAGUAACAAACAGUGACGUCCCAGCAGCAGCUCCAGGUCUCCCUCUUACUAUAUAUUUCCUUACGAGAAAGGCUACUACUAUAGAUAGAUAUUUAAACUGUACAGCAGAACACUUUACUAUUUUUAGCUGUUGUUGAAAACUAAGCUGUAACUAAUCUGGGUAAAACCCAGCAAUUUAAAUGGGAAGAUUAACCUCCAGCUUCAAAGAGCAUUUCUUUAAUGGAUCAAAUUAAUGGGGAAAAGGUCUUUCACAAAUGAAGUUUAAUUACCAAGUGAAGUCAGAGUUGCCUCAACACGGGAUGUCACCAAAUACGAAAAAGCAAAAGAAAAAAAAAAACGCUUUGCUGUUGCAAAUCUAAGCUUUGUUACUGUUACUUCCAGUUGCACAAAGUAAAUGAAAAAGCACACUGUGUAGCUGCCAAGAAAUUUCAGUGUAGUCAAUUAAAGGAUGUUUAACUCCUGUAAAGAAAAUACAUUUCUGAAGCGAGCUCUCUCAGUUAGAAUAAAAGGGAGCUCAAGGAAGGGGACUUCAAACAAUAAAAUGUGAACUAGUUCAAAAAUAAAGUAUAUAAUUUAUUCAAACUAAGAGACAUUUUCAGAAAUGCCUACGUUUAAAAAUCUUGGUCUUAACAACAGAAAUAUAAUCCUGCAAGAGCAACGGGAACCUGAGUUCUGUUUAAGAAAGAUCAACAUCAAAAACUUAAGAUAUCUAUCACAGCCUUCUGUCUGUUUCGCAUGAAAGAAAAGCACCUAAAGAUUCAGAAGAUCAUCACAGUUGAAGAGGGGAUUAUGCAUGCAAUGAAAAUAUCAGAAAUGCCCAUGCUGGGCAGGAAAUUGCCUGCAUUUUAAGGUAUGAUGUUUCCUGCCCAAUUUCAGUGCCAGACGUUCAUUUCCAUUUUGUGUUUCUAGCAGCGGAAUACAGAAGCAGAAAGCAAUCUAAUGCAGGAUAUACACAGAAAACAGUGCUUCACAGACCAUUUUAGAACCAGUUCUUUGCACGUCUAUGUAAAAGAUCUUCACGUGAAAUAGCUGAACAAAGAACUGAGUUCCAGAAGUUACCAGAGUUGGACACUCAAAGCAAAACCGUAUUUCACCACCAGGUUUCACUGCAGCUGAAGGAUAAUAUUCAGGUUUCCACUCACUGCGCCCAGAUGAGAAAGGCUUUAAAAUACGGCAGGAUGAAUACAAAUAAAGGUUUACAGCAGGCUUUCGCAGCAAGCAAAAGCUGGACCAGCAGGUAUCACAUGCCCCAGUUACAGAUGUUAGUGCAGCCUCUGCACCUGAAUGUGCAAUUCCUCUAAGUAUGGCUAUAUGAACUACUUGGGCCAGAGCAUCUUUCUUAAACAAUAUAUUGCUCACCAAAUCAUCUCAAAGACCCCUCCACUGCAUAUUUGUAUGAGUGACUCCCCACUCUUCUAAAAUAGCUCCCAGCUUUCCCCUUCUUAUCUAUAAAACUAAUUCACAGCCACAUUUACAGCUGCCAUAUUCCUCCUUGCUUAACACCGGUAUCAAAGACCUAGAAGAACUCUGGAAAAUGCCAUAAGUAACCAAUAAAUUUAAAUAAAGAAUUAUUAACAAGAUUAAAAAAUGGUCAAUGGCCAGGUGUUAAAACACGUGCCAUGUGAACUUUGUCUUCUAGUAUCUUAAAUCAUCACCUUACGCAAAACUUCACCCUGUGUACACAGUAUUACCCUGGAGAAUCACUUUUGUUUUUUCCUGUAAGUUGCUUUACUGCUGCUAUUUAUUUUCUGUUGCUUUACUGCUGCUAUUUAUUUUCUAUCCUUUCUAGUUGUAAAUUCAUUCAUACUAACUUGCUGAUUCUCUACUCAGAUUUGUACUCUGUAGGUGUUUUCAAUUCCCAUGUAAAAACUAUUGUGCAUGCGUUAAUUAACACAGCCUCAUCUUUUCUGAUUCAGGACCCAGCAGGUCCUUCCUCACAGCCACCCGUACCCCGCCGUGACCGGCUCUGUUUGGGGGGCUCAGCCUCGCCGACAGCUCUCACUGCCCCACACAGCUGCAUGCCAGAUACAAGCCCACUGGAAAGGCAGGGCUGCCAAAAAGCAUAUUACAGCCGUGCUGUACUCAACUGCACUGAACAUUCAGUUCGAUUUUCCUCACCGCCUGCUAGGUUGAUUUUGUUCAGGGCUGCUAGCCACAGCGCUUACUGAAUUCUUCUACCAUGGGAAGAAGUCCCAGACAAGCCCAGUGCUUACCAGAGAAAUUAAAGCAGCAUAAUUCUACUUCCCUGAAGAGACCCUCCUAUGAAGGGAGGCAGUAAGGAAGUAAGCAAAGCACACCACUCAAAUCCAGACAGUUAAACACACGGCAAGUUAACCAUAAAUCCUUGUCCCUUGAAGGUGCCCAGGCAUACAGCGGCCUUGAGAGGGAGCUGCCAUCUCUGCUGUUUAACUGGAGGAAAGGCCGGCAGCGGGGCAGAGAGCAAAGCGGUGGAGGACGGCGUUCACCACGCGUGCCUGCCUGAGGAGUGCUCCUUGCCGGCAUCCAAACCUCCUCCUGGUAGUAAGGGGAAGAAAUUUCAGCCUGCGCUCACCAACACAAGGCCAAGUCUGAAUUUGCAGUUGAAACCAGCGAGGGACAAGCUUUCCAGGAACUACAUUUGCAUGCAGAUUUCCCAGAAUUUUUUUUCCAGUUGGUUUGGAAGGGCGCUCCUUCCUUCUCAAGCUGUGCUCCAGAGCUCCUACAAUGUCUCGGCUCACAACGAACUCCGAGGUACAGCUUCAGCUCUUCUUGCUUUUAUGUAACUUGCUUUUUAAAGAUCAUUGCUUUUGCCACGAUGGCCCAUUUUAUUUACCCAUUAACUUAUUUUGUAAGCCAUGCAGAGUUCUAGUGAGAGCAAUCCGACACCUUAAUCUCAAGUGUAGUCACAAGCAUGUGACCUUCUAGAUAAAGUCUUAUUUAUUAUGAAUUCAUGAACUUAAAACCCAGUAAUCUAACGAAGAAAAUACAUAUUAUUUAAAUACAGCCAUUUAGAUUUUAAAAGAUUUAACUGCAAAAAGUAGCGUAAUAUUAAAGCUCAGAGACGGUGCUUCUAUAUGCAAUCUGUUGCUUAAAUUUCAUUCCUUUGUACAUUUCCUCUGACAAAGCAAUUUAAACUGUUUUCUUCCCAUUCGGGUGGUUACAGGCAUUUACUGUAAUUUGAACACCAUCAAAAAACCCUGACUGAAAAAUACCCCGACAGACUAAGAGAGCAAGCAGGCAGCUGGAGCUGAAUUAGCUACAGCAGCACAAGCUUUCUGAAUGAGCGCUGCCUUCAAAAUCUACUGCUGUUUGCAAAAUGAUAGCGGGACCAGCUCUCAUUGACAAGAGUCCACCGAGCUACACGAGAUCUUACUCCCACGAUCACAAAUAAUAGAAUCACAGAAUUGAUUGUGUUGGAAGGGAUCCUUAAAAGUCAGCUAGUCCAGCUCCCCUGCAAUGAACAGGGACCACUAGAGCUCAUUCUACAAGUAGGUAAACUGUGGCAUAUGAGAGCCAGCAGCAGAGCCUGGCACUCCUGAACCUAGCACAAAACCACACUUCCAAGAUUAUCCAUCACCUGCGCCUGGCCUCAAACUGACCUGAAAACCUUCCUGCUUCCCUGCUUAGAAAGUGUAAGAAGGUAAAAGCUUCCCAAAUUAGUACUUCUAAUUAAGAGCAUGGUGAAGUGAUUCUGCUGUGUCUUACUACACUGAUAUUUUCACUGCACAGUAGUUUACUGUAUAAAAAUAACCAUAUGGCAUAGAAUGGUUGGUUGUGAGAAAAUUACGAUUUUUUCAACUAAAUUAUUUAGCUUUUUUUAGAAUACAGCCUUUUUUUCUUAUUAAAGUGCUGUGUUCUAUCCUUUAGGAUGGAAGAAGCAUAGUAGUUACACUGUGCUUAUUAUUAAAGAAAAAACACAACUACUUUAAGAAGAUAUCUGGACGUGGGCUUGGCAGAACUGCCCUCUGAGUGCUCUCCUCCCUGCAGCACAACUGUUGUUAAUGUCUUUUGCCUCAACAAGGCACACAAAGAAGCAGAACACAUCCCUGAGAAGGCUUCAUCACUCGAGCAUGCUCUCAGUUAACAAUAUUUUAGCUAUCAACUGCUCCACCUUCAGACAGGUAUAGACUCUUGAUAAAAUACCUAAUUUUAGUCUAAAUCAUGGGUUUAAAAAAAUAUAUUUUACGGUACUGCGUUCAAGUUUUUCAGACCAGAGGCCAAAGGAUUUUCCUCAUUGCUUGAACACGAGUUCUUACCCUUGUCUCUUGCAUUCCUCAUCUGCUUUCACUUAACAGGGUAUUUCACUAUCAAAGGUUUUAAAAACAAAAUAAAUAGAAAUAAGAACAUUUUAUUUUUCCCUAUUUGAAUAAAGAACAGAUCCACAGUCAAGAAAAAGGCUUACAUCAAUAGCAAGGAUAAAAAUCCUACGGUGAUGUCAGCUGCACAGUCAAUAGUUUGCAAGAAAAAAGUCCUUCCUGAAGAACCAAGCACUGAAAACACUCUGGUCAUCGGCUAAAUCACCUCCAUUUAGAGCACCCCGCUUGCAGCUUUUACAUUUGACACGGAUUGCUUCAAGUCUUCAGCUCCUUGCAGUAUAUUCCCACCUCUUGCAGUGGGUGUAAGCAUGGGGAAAGCGUGAGGAAGCCAACCUCUAACUCCCCUCUAGCGUAACAGUCCGGUUAUUAUUCUCAGUUGUGAGCAGCAUGAAAUAAUUUCACAAACAAGAUUCUUGGCCUCGGCGUUCUUUUCCUUUUUGAAACGUAAGAAUUGUCGUAACACACCAUCAGUCUGCUCUGGUUUAGUGAUGCGUUCUGGUAAACGAAAUGGGUCAUCUCUUUCAGGCAACACUGCCAGGAUUAUUACGAAUUGAAUUGAAAGGGAUGCUUUGUGAAUUACAAAGUUGUUUGGUAAAACCUUUCACUGGUGUAAAUAUAAGCACAGAUUUCUUCACACAAGCUCUGAUUCCAUUUUGUCAGUUCUUCACUGGAAAUUCAGGCUCUACUUCUAUGUAGUAAGUAACAUUUUUCCUCUGAACACUUAAAAAGAAUUCCCUCACACCACACCAAAUUCAACAGAAUUCACAGUUUCUCUACAUAGCCUAUGAUGUACACAUCUACUAUGUAUUAGCUAUCUUAAAGGAACUACUAAUGCAUCUUGAAGCACCAGUUCUUCGGCUUCAGACAACGCAUUUCAAACGUCUGGGUAAAAAAAUAUCUCAGCAUUUUAAAACACUACAUUGUUGUACAAGUCCUAAUAUUAUCAGGCUCCCACAGAAAGAAGUGACACAUUAUGGAUAUGAUGAGACCUGUCUUUAUCAAUGCACUUAUUCUGAUAUCUUGCAUCAAAUCCCCAGGCUGGUACAAACAGGCAUGGCUUCAAUGAACCUGUGCUAAUUUACAUCAACUGAGGCGAUGGCUCCACAUCAAAGAACCCUGAAGCAUUCGUCACCUACAUAAACUGUAUUUAAAUAUAUGUAUGUAUAUAUGCUGGCAUGUAUUCA